CCAUAUUUUCUUUAAAAAAAAAAUCUACAUAAAUUACAUUGGGAAUUAUAUUGAGAAAUUGGUAGGAAAUAGGAAUGUAGUUAAAAUGUGGAGCAUCAAAAUCUCUCCGAGGAGUUCCCUGUUGGUCUGGGUCUCAGGAGUAAGCCACUGAUGACAUUGUCUCCAUCACAUCACGGUACUUGGGAGGGGGUCAGAGGAAGUUUAACAGAUUUUAAAAAAUGUGGGAGGUAAUGUAUUUGGACGGCUGAGCUGUAUUUUCCUCAGUCUCUCUGUCUCUCCAUGCAACCGUCAUUCAUUCAUGUUGUACAUACACAAACAAUGAUCAAAUGUAAAAUGUGGGCUGGGCGUGGUGGCACUCACCUGGAAUCUCAGCACUUUGGGAGGCCGAGGCAGGCCAAUCACCUGAGCCCGGGAGUUCGAAACCAGCCUGAGCAAUAUAAGACCACCCCGUUUCUACCAAAAAAAAAAAAAAAAAAAAAAAAAGCCUGGUUUGGUAGCUCGUGCCUGUAGUCUUACCUACUCUGGAGGCUGAGUUGGAAGGAUCUCUGGAGUCCAGGAAUUCGAGGCUGCAGUGAGCUAUGAUCAUGCCACUGCACUCCACUCUGGAAGACACAGCAGGACCCCGUCUCUGGAAAAAAAAUGGAGGAAAAGAAAAUAUCCUUUUAGAGAUAUUGGUGAAUCAAGCUUACCCCACAGAGGUGCAUGCUGAAGAUGACUGAGUGGACUGGAGACUGUCCCCUGGGCCACUGUGAGAGGCCUGUGCUGUAGAUGGGAGGGCCACAGGUGGGAAGAAGCCUGGUCACUGUGUCACCCUGGGGGAGAGGUGGGGGUGUGCUCCUUCUGUUCCAUUUUUGUGUAAACCUAAACACCGCUCUAAAAAAAAAUUAAGCCUUUUAAAAAUUCCAAAACAAAAAGGUCCCAGAAAAAAAGAGACACUUUUAAGUAACUUAGUUGCCCAUAGAGCCAGAGAAAGUCUGGUCUUAGGUACAAAUCAUCUUGGUUUAUCACCUGAGGAAGCACUUGUGAGUUUUAAAAUUCAUCAAUUAAUAAUCAUGUUAUGUUUCAAACUCCAACCCACUUGUGAUCAUUAAAAAAUCACCUCUAUUUUAAAAUCUAGUGUUCCCCUUAUAUGACAUUCAUGGCUAUAACAGUGGUCUGAAUAUUCUUGGUAAAAUAAAAUUUCAACCAUGGUCUGAGGGUAAAAAGCAAAGAGUAAGAAAAUGAACAAUGAUAACCACAACAAACUGUAAAACAUCAGCUCAAAGCCCUCUGUCAACACCGUAAAUGGGAUGAAUUAUGAAUCAAGAUAGCUUUGCCUGCACUCACAGAGCCCACAUUGCACAGAGGCUCCAUCUGUAACGUAGUGUGCUGGCUUGUGUAUCUCGACCAUUAAGGCAGGGUGGGCUGCAAGCUUGGUUCAUUCAGCUACCUGAAGAUGUCCUUGAGGGCCCAGAGGUUUUCCAUCUUUCUGGUCUGCUGCCCACAGUCUGCCUGCUUCCUGUUUGACCUCUGUUCCCGUCCAGCAGGAGUAACGGGGUCAUUUCUGGAAUGUCUCCCAAAAGUGCAAGGAAGGCAUUGCUUGCAAGGAUCCAGCAGACACCUCCUAGAACACCCUUGGCUCAGACAAAGUUCCUCAAAGAUGUGCAAAGGAUGAAAACCACACAAACUAGAACUUAGAACAGCGCAUGACGUAUGGUAAGUACCUUGUAAGUGUUGACUAUCGUUAUUUUCUCCACUAGGAUGUAAGUUCUGUGGUGCUUAGAUUCUAUACUUGAUGCAUAGCAGGUGCUCAAUAAAUACUUGUUGAAUGAGUGAAUUGGCGGUUAGACCAAAUGACAUUCAAAAGUCUGGGCUGGGCAGAGUGUAGUGGCUCAUGCCUAUAAUCCCAGCACUUUGGGAGGCCAAGGCGAGCAGAUCACUUGAGGUCAGGAGUUCAAGACCAGCCUGGCCAACAUGUGGAAACCCCAUCUCUAGUAAAAAUACAAAAAUUAGCUGGGUGUGUUGGUGGGUGCCUGUAAUCCUAGCUACUCUGGAGGCUGAGGCAGGAGAAUCUCUUGAACCCAGGAGGCAGAGAUUGCAGUAAGCUGAGAUUGCACCACUGCACUCCAGCCUAGGCAACAAGAAUGAAACUCUGUCUUUAAAAAAAAAAAAAUCUGAAAGUAAGUUAUCCCCUGCUGAAAUGGUAAUUCCCUUUCCUCCUUUAUCAGUUUUGGAGGGCUAAAUAUUUGGCAUAUGAGGUUUAUUUCUUUUCAAGGGAGCAUCCAGCAGACAUUAAAUUCUCCAAGGGAGGCCCUGUUGAGACGAAGUGCCCCUUCAUCCCCACUCCACUUCAAGAGCCUUGUUGCUUGGGAGGGAACUCCCUGUUUUUAUCUGUGAAGGGAAAAACAAAGGGUGGUGGGCGGGGGCGCCCUUAAAAGAAAUGCCUGGAGUUUUGUUGACUUUCAAAGCUUUCCUUAAAUGAAACUAUCUUCUAUUAUCGUUGAUGAAAACAAUCAACCCCUGUCAAGUAUUUGGAGAGAUUUAUUCUGAUGUGAGUGACCACGAUCCAUGGUCACAUUCAGAUUUGAGUGACCAUGACCCAUGACAAAGCCCCAGGAGAGCCUGAGAACACGUGCCCAAGGGGGUCAGACUAUAGCUUGGUUUUAUACAUGUUAGAGAGACAUAAGACAUCAAUCGAUACAUGUAAGAUGUACACUGGUUUGGUUCAAAAAGGUGGGACAACUCAAAGUGGGGUGCUUCCAGGACAUAGGUGGAUUCAAAGAUUUUCUGAUUGGCAAUUGGUUGAAAGAGUUAAGUGGUUACCUAAAGUCUCGGAAUCAAUAGAAAGGAGUGUCUGGGUUAAGAUAAGGGGCUGUGGUGACUGAGGUUCUUAUUACACAGAUGAAGCCUCCAAGUAGCUGGCUUUAGAGAGAAGAGAUUGUAUUACUUUUAAUGGCAUUACAAUUACUUUUAAUACCAUUACUUUAAAUGGCAAAAACCGCAAUUACUUUUGCACCAACCUAAUACAUGUUUCUUAUCAGGGCUAUUUCACAAUAUGUCAAAGAAAU
rnacentral:lncRNA from 10 species